ACAGAGGAACCAGAUCACCUGUGAAGGAACCAGACAGAGGAACCAGAUCACCUGUGAAGGAACCAGACAGAGGAACCAGAUCACCUGUGAAGGAACCAGACAGAGGAACCAGAUCACCUGUGAAGGAACCAGACAGAGGAACCAGAUCACCUGUGAAGGAACCAGACAGAGGAACCAGAUCACCUGUGAAGGAACCAGACAGAGGAACCAGAUCAUCUAUGAAGGUGGAAAGUGGAACAGAAGAUUUUAAUGACUCUCUAGAGAACGCUGAAGAUGUCUAUUUUAUAAUGUGUAUAUCUUUUUUAGAAUGAUUGUCUAUUGAUACAAAACUCUUUAUUCUCUAUUGAAAUCUUUCUUUCUGAUAUGUUGGUUCUGUGGGACCAGGGUUCAGGGGGUUCUGUUGCACGUGGUGGAGCUAUGGGGGUGAGGGGGGUGACUUGUGUAAUGAGCAGGGGACGGUCUCUCUCUGAAUAUUAGUGCGAAAUUCAAGCCCUGCUCAGCUUCACUGGCUGCUAUUGAUCGCUCUUUGUCACUGAGCACCCCGAUCAGACCAAUUGAUUCCACAGUAUCGCUGAACGCUUUGUGUGAACAACAGAAGAGGGGGGGUGUUGAAACCAAAAUGUAAAGUGGAAGCCCAGUGGGCCCCACAUCAGACCAGUACAGCGAGUGUGGCAGAGCAUAUUAUACUGAGAUGAGUCUAACCCUGUUGUUUCACUGUGUGCACCAACAGGCAGAGUCUCAGGCUGUGAGGAAUGAACCAGCCUGCCACCAUGAAGGCUUUGUCUAGAAGAGUUGUGUUUGCCAUAUUAUCAAUCGUUCAUCUUUAAGGUCGACUUUGUCCACCCUUUCUGAUUUAGACCGUGUACUUUGAGUAGGGCUGCAUGGGAGAAGUUGCAAUGCAAAAAAAAUACAAAGAAAAUCUCGCUAUCCUCUACUGAUAGAAACCAAUAGUAAGCUAAUCCAUCGUUUCAUCCUGAUAGACCCACCAGGCAUAGCCUGUUUGUUUCCAGUGGUCCUGAAACAGAAAAGAGAAUCAGGGUUGUGUGGGUCUGCUUGUGUAUCUUGUUGUGUUUGUGCGGUUGUUCCGAUAGAAGGAGACAGUUUUAUACGGUGUUUGAAAAUAACAAAAAAAAUAGGAAGACGACGACCUCCGAGCUUUUACAACCCGCAUGACGAGUCGCCACAAGGACUCUUUAUAAGACAGACGUUGUGGGAGGAGCCUCUUCUCCUUCAUCAUCUUCCUACCCUUCUCACUGGACCCUCACUGUACUGUGACUCACUGCAUUGUGACUCACUGUGACUCACUGCACUGUGACUCACUGUGACUCAGUGCACUUUAACUCACUGCACUGUGACUCAUGGUGACUCACUGCAAUGUAACUCACUGCACUGUGACUCACUAUGACUCACUGCACUGUGACUCACUGUGACUCACUGCACUGUGACUCACUGCACUGUGACUCACUGUGACUCACUGCAUUGUGACUCACUGUGACUCACUGUGACUCACUGCACUGUGACUCACUGCACUGUGACUCACUGUGACUCGCUGCACUGUGACUCACUGUGACUCACUGUGACUCACUGUAACUCACUGUAACUCACUGCACUGUGACUCAUGGUGACUCACUGCACUGUGACUCACUGCACUGUGACUCAGUGCAGUGUGACUCACUAUGACUCACUGUGACUCAGUGCAGUCCCAACCCAGGGUAUACCCCCUACCCUCACCUUCCCCCCCCCACCCUAUGCCCCGCCCCAGUGUGCGGACAGAUCAGACAAGAGUACUGCCAGGCAUCCAGGUGUGCAAGCAUUGUGUCCCUCUGCCCCCUCCCACAACUCCUCCUCCUCCUCAACCUCCCAGCCUCACCCCUGCUGUGCUUCAGCCGCGGCAGAGUCCUGGUCACUGGUCAGAGUCCUGGUCCCUGGUCAGAGUCCUGGUCCUGGUCAGAGUCCUGGUCAGAGUCCUGAGUUCUGGUUCUGGUCCUGGUCCUGGUCCCUGGUCCUGGUCCUGGUCCUGGUCCAGGCCCUGGUCCUGGUCCUGGUCCAGGCCCUGAGGAUGGGCUCUCUAACUGGCGUUCACUGGUGUUGUUUUAUUUAUUUAUUACCAUCUUUCUCUUUUGUACGUAACAUACCAUGCUGUAUAUUUUACCUUCCAAACCUACGUGAUUGUGAAAUGAAAAAAAAACAAGUAUGUAUGUAUGUGUAUGUGUGUUGUUUCAUAAGUAUUCUCUUCCCAAUGUUUUAUAAAUACAUGUACAGCAAUAAAACCCGCUGGUGUCAGUCGGUGUUCUGGUCUGAGCUGUGAACAGGACGGCCUCAUCAGUCUGAA
ensembl:lncRNA